AAGCUCACUGGUCUAUAGUUCCCAGGUUUUUCUUUGCAGCCCUUCCUGAAAAGGCCACAAUAUUUGUUACUCUUCAGUCUUCCGGGACCUCAACUGGUCUAAUACUGGUGCAGAAAUGUCAGCCAGGGCCCCUGAAAUUCCUUCUCCAGUCUCUUGCAGUGUUCUUGCACAUAUCUGGUCAGGAGACCAGCAGAUUUAUCCACCUUCAUACAUUCUAAUAUGUCCAACACCACCUCUACUGUGACAUAGAGUGCCCUUAAGAUGUGACCGCUAACUUCCCCAAGUCUUCAUGUCUUUCUCCACGGUAAACACAAGUGAAAUAUUCAUUGACGACCUCUCCCAUCUCCUGCGGUACUCCAUAUACAUGUUCCCUUUGGUGUGUCAAAUACGAGUGUGUUUAAAAGGAUGUGUCCCUAUAUGGGUUUAGGAUUGUUCCUCCUAUUUGUAUGCUGUCCAAUAUUUAUCAUUCAAACAUCACAAAAACAAUACUCAAAAGAAAAGUCUUUUUACUUAUGCAUCACAUUUAGCAACUAAUGCAUUCCAAACUGCUUAGUAAACAAUGUAAGUGUUGGACGUGGAGUCACUGCUGUAAUGUUGGUGAUGCAAAACCCAAUCGCCCUCUGCAAGCUCCUGGGGCAAGUGACAACUAACUAAUUUCCUGAUGCUGAUUGAAGGAUAAAUACUGACAAGAACAUUUGCACUGUUCUUCAAUAUAGCACCUUGGGAUCUUUGUCCAUUCAAACGAUUGGGCCUCGUCUGACUGAUCUCAUUCGAAAGACAGCACCUCUGAGUACCGCAGUGAACAGAUAUAUACCAUUCCGACUGGUCAAGUUCAGCCGAGUGUCUCAACUGGACCCAAGAAUGAGCUGACUAACUCCUACGCCUGAUUGCAAAAGAAGCAUUUGUCUGGUUAAUACGUAUUAAACUGUGUAAAUUCCCACGUAAAUAAAUCUUUCUUUUAAAAAAAAA